rnacentral:rRNA from 1 species
GUAGGUGGCAAGCGUUGUCCGGAAUUAUUGGGCGUAAAGCGCGCGCAGGCGGGUUUUUAAGUCUGAUGAGAAAGCCCACGGGCUCAACCGUGGAGGGUCAUUGGAAACUGGAGAACUUGAGUACAGAAGAGGAAAGCGGAAUUCCACGUGUAGCGGUGAAAUGCGUAGAGAUGUGGAGGAACACCAGUGGCGAAGGCGGCUUUCUGGUCUGUAACUGACGCUGAGGCGCGAAAGCGUGGGGAGCAAACAGGAUUAGAUACCCUGGUAGUCCACGCCGUAAACGAUGAGUGCUAAGUGUUAGGGGGUUUCCGCCCCUUAGUGCUGCAGCUAACGCAUUAAGCACUCCGCCUGGGGAGUACGGCCGCAAAGGCUG